rnacentral:rRNA from 1 species
GAUGAACGCCGGCGGUGUGCCUAAUACAUGCAAGUCGUACGCACUGGCCCAACUGAUUGAUGGUGCUUGCACCUGAUUGACGAUGGAUCACCAGUGAGUGGCGGACGGGUGAGUAACACGUAGGUAACCUGCCCCGGAGCGGGGGAUAACAUUUGGAAACAGAUGCUAAUACCGCAUAACAACAAAAGCCACAUGGCUUUUGUUUGAAAGAUGGCUUUGGCUAUCACUCUGGGAUGGACCUGCGGUGCAUUAGCUAGUUGGUAAGGUAACGGCUUACCAAGGCGAUGAUGCAUAGCCGAGUUGAGAGACUGAUCGGCCACAAUGGAACUGAGACACGGUCCAUACUCCUACGGGAGGCAGCAGUAGGGAAUCUUCCACAAUGGGCGCAAGCCUGAUGGAGCAACACCGCGUGAGUGAAGAAGGGUUUCGGCUCGUAAAGCUCUGUUGUUGGAGAAGAACGUGCGUGAGAGUAACUGUUCACGCAGUGACGGUAUCCAACCAGAAAGUCACGGCUAACUACGUGCCAGCAGCCGCGGUAAUACGUAGGUGGCAAGCGUUAUCCGGAUUUAUUGGGCGUAAAGCGAGCGCAGGCGGUUGCUUAGGUCUGAUGUGAAAGCCUUCGGCUUAACCGAAGAAGUGCAUCGGAAACCG